GAUUGGACUUUAUUGUCACGUUCUGAUUGGUUAGCCUAAGACUUGUGCUCAUCCAAUCAGAACAUGAAAAUAACGUCCAAUC
ensembl:miRNA